rnacentral:rRNA from 1 species
GACGUAGGAUCCGAGCGUUGUCCGGAGUUACUGGGCGUAAAGCGCGCGCAGGCGGUCCUUUAAGUCUGAUGUGGAAGCCCACGGCUCAACCGUGGAGGGUCAUUGGAAACUGGGGGACUUGAGUGCAGGAGAGAAGAGUGGAAUUCCCGGUGUAGCGGUGGAAUGCGUAGAGAUCGGGAAGAACAUCGGUGGCGAAGGCGGUCUGCUGGGCCGUUGCUGACGCUGAGGCGCGACAGCGUGGGGAGCAAACAGG